rnacentral:rRNA from 1 species
UAACGGCGAGUGAAGCGGCAACAGCUCAAAUUUGAAAUCUGGCCCUUGGGUCCGAAUUGUAAUUUGUAGAGGAUGUUUCUGGCGACGUGUCUUCCGAGUUCCCUGGAACGGGACGCCAUAGAGGGUGAGAGCCCCGUCCGGUCGUACGCCUAGCCUCUGUGAAACUCCUUCGACGAGUCGAGUAGUUUGGGAAUGCUGCUCAAAAUGGGAGGUAUACGUCUUCUAAAGCUAAAUACCGGCCAGAGACCGAUAGCGCACAAGUAGAGUGAUCGAAAGAUGAAAAGCACUUUGAAAAGAGGGUUAAAUAGUACGUGAAAUUGCUGAAAGGGAAGCGCUCAUGACCAGACUUGGGCUCGGUGAAUCAUCCGGCGUUCUCGCCGGUGCACUUUGCCGGUCCAGGCCAGCAUCAGCUUGCCUCGGGGGAUAAAGGCUUCGGGAAUGUAGCUUCCUCGGAAGUGUUAUAGACCGUUGCGUAAUACCCUGGGGCGGGCUGAGGUACGCGUCUGCAAG